CACACACCAACCACUACACAAGCAGCAGGCUGAAGAAUGAUAUUGCAGGAGCUCAACACAGGAAAGAUGAUUGACAAUACUUAUCCCUACUUCCCGUUGACCCUCUCAAUUUCCUCCCAACACUAGGAAUAAUAGUAUGCUCCCCCACUGUUGUUGUUUACAAGAUUCCUCCAUCCAUAUUG